UACGAAGGGGGCUAGCGUUGCUCGGAAUCACUGGGCGUAAAGGGUGCGUAGGCGGGUUUUUAAGUCAGGGGUGAAAUCCUGGAGCUCAACUCCAGAACUGCCUUUGAUACUGAAGAUCUUGAGUUCGGGAGAGGUGAGUGGAACUGCGAGUGUAGAGGUGAAAUUCGUAGAUAUUCGCAAGAACACCAGUGGCGAAGGCGGCUCACUGGCCCGAUACUGACGCUGAGGCACGAAAGCGUGGGGAGCAAACAGGGA
rnacentral:rRNA from 1 species